GUUGAAUCUGCCGAUUACAGCUACCCGUUGGGUGACUUUGGGGAAGUAGCUUCACCUGUCAUCUGGCUGCACAGCAGGUUGAGGAGUUCAUGCAGGUGGAUUAAACGAUAGGGUUUCUAGGGGUCACGUUUUAGAGCCCUUGAGGUCCUAAUUAGUAGAUAACUUAAUUGGUCUUAACGUAUUUGUAAGAUAAAUGGUCCUGUGUAGAUUAAAUGAGACAAAACUGGUACAUAGUAAAAUAAAAGUGGUAACUGGGACUAUCUGUUCUCAGGAUUCCUCGCUGACUCUGUCCGUAGAGCAUGUGACUUUUUUUCCCCCAGAUUUUUUUUGAGGGAGCACGGGGAGCCCAACCGGAGGCUCCAUCCCAGGACUCUGGGAUCAUGGCCUGAGCCAAAGGCAGCCACUAGCCACCCAGGCGCCCCAGAGCACGAGACUCUUUAUCUCAAGGUUGUGAGUUGAUCCCUAAAUCUCGAUUUAAAAAAUAAUUUGUCUUUGUCUGGCUGGAACUGAGGACGGGAAGAUCAAGACUUAACCUGAGCUGAGCACCCCCAGGCGCCCCAAGGGUAUCUUCUCUUUAUUUGGUCGCCAGUAUAUUUCAGUAGAUAAAUUCCAGUUGGGCAGUAGUGCGUGGCUUUUAUGGGAGUCUGACCGUUGGACAGCAGUUGGGGCGGUCUUGGGACCUGAAUUGCCCUGGCCCUUAUCGAAGCUGCAGCUGCUUCCACAUAGCUGCUGUGGUCAAAAAGGAGCCCAGAGUGACAGUUUUCCUUGACGGUCGCCGUUCUGUUUGAUGUAACUGAUCUGCAACAUUUCAGGAAAAGACAGUUCCUGUUGAACCUUCCAUUUCUCAGGUAUAGGUGGAGUCCUUUAUUAAAAUCGACAGGUUUCCAGAGGCUAGCAGGAACAUUCUGUUGAUGGGGCCUCGCAUAUAGUUAUUGUCAAAAUAAAACUUUUGGGAAGUAAGUUGCUGAGACCAAAAGCCAGUAUGGAGGCCAGGGGAGCGGGUUGGACAGGUGUACUGGGAAAAUCUAGAGGCAUGUGGCACAGAUCUCAGCAGUGCUUUGGGUCACUGCCUUGAACGGUGUAAGGCAUAAGUACCAGGUUCAAAAACCACACCUUGGAUUCUGAAGACGAAGACCAUGAGAAGGGAACAGUAAGAUCAUUCAGGACAACUGUUUUCUCAUCUUAGCUGUGCCGGCUGAAGAUUCCAGGAUGACUUUGAAGUUGAGCUUUCUGGUGAGGAUUCUGGGGUCAUGACUGAUGGAACACAACCACCUCGGGACCUGGUAGGUCUCUGGGAACUACCUGAUGGGUCAGUUCAGCAUGUUUCCAAGGGCUGUGGCCGGUAGUGGCCAUGGGAUCUCCAACUGCAUGCGAGAGCAACUUGGAGAGACUUUGACAGCACAGGUCAGCAUAAUACCUGCAGCUGCCACUCGCCUUUCCUAUAACCACUCGGGACCUGGGCCAGAAGCCUUCUGCCCCAGUCUAGGUGUUUCUGUAAAUGUCCAUGUGGUUGGGUGUACUGGAUCAACUUUGUUUAGAGCUUUCACACUUUUCUCUGCAGGCUGCCCCCAAGUGUCCUGGCAGCGUCUGUAACUGAAGAAUCCAAGGAUACCAAGGUGUUGCUGUCCUUUAGACAAGGUAAGUUAGAUGUUGAAGACAGCCUGACCCUCCGGUUCCCUUUCCCAUCGGAUCUGAACGCUGGUCUUGGUGGUCGUAAAAGGAGGAAAAGGAAAAGUGAAUCUGGCCCUGCAGUGCUUAUAGUCUGGUAUAUAGCUUGUGGGCUAGUUUCAAACAAGGUUUGAAUUCUCUUUAAACUGGUUUCCUCUUCUCUAAAAUGUGAUUGUCUUAGGCUCUUUUUUUUUUUUUAAGAUUUUAUUUACUCAUGAGAGACAGACCUAGGCAGAGGGAGAAGCAGGCUCAAUCCCAAGACCCUGGGAUCAUGACUUGAGCCAAAGGGAGAGGCUCAACCACUGGGCCACUCAGGUGCCCCAAUCAUCUUAGGCUUAAAGGGGGGAUGUAUGUAAAGCUCCAGGCAGCUGUAGUGCUUGCUGACUUAAUUCUGUGUUUGAUAAAUAUCAAUGGCUUUCUUGUCUCUUGAUUGAGUGUCCUUUUCGGUUGCGGUUUUUUUUUUUUUAGAUCUGUUCCCAGUAAAGUUGCCCUUGUCUGUGAUUAUGGAUCCAUAGUCGGGUAAGUUGGCUACCUGAAACUUCCAUAGCUUCCUUGCAGCUUUGAGUAGUGCUUGAGCUUUGUGAAUCCUGAGUAGUGUAGUGAAUCAGUAUAAGCCUACUCAGGCCUUCGGGAAAGUGUUAGCUUUUUCAUACAUCAUUUACACCUGACCUCCCUGUGUGCCCUACUGGCUGUUAAUAGCCAGAAGAUAAAAAUUUGCCCACUCUGUUGGAAGGCCAAGAGCACAUGUGCUAGGAGUAGAAGAUACCAGAUGCCAAAGCCCUGCACCUUUGGUGGCAAGGGCUGGUUGCUGUGAGUGUACUGUAGUGGUUUGAGCUCAUGCUGAAGUUUGGGGAAACCUCAAAACAUGGAAUCUUACUGGCCCCUGUCCUGGGAGAAUGGGAGAUGGGUUGGGUAAAAACAGAUAGUUCAUCUAGCAGGUUUUUUAGGCUGACUGGUCCAGGAUGAAACCUAAUCUGAGUGGACAUCUAUGGAUGAUAAAUGCGGAUAUGGGACUGAGACCAGCUCUUCAGAAAAACCCAGCGUGGCAUUAAUUAAUUGGGGAUGUUAACACGCUGGCUUAUACUUCCUUUUUAGGAGAGAAACACUAUGGGAUGAGGCAAGUUGAAAGACAACAGAUGAUUUUAGUGAAGAAUCACGACCUCUGUAUUUCUGUGAAUGCUGGCACAGGGCAUGUAAGUGACCAAUAAAAA
rnacentral:lncRNA from 1 species